rnacentral:rRNA from 1 species
UACGUAGGGGGCAAGCGUUGUCCGGAUUUAUUGGGCGUAAAGAGCGUGUAGGCGGUUAGGUAGGUCCGUUGUGAAAACUCGAGGCUCAACCUCGAGACGCCGAUGGAAACCAUCUGACUAGAGUCCGGAAGAGGAGAGUGGAAUUCCUGGUGUAGCGGUGAAAUGCGCAGAUAUCAGGAAGAACACCCGUGGCUAAGGCGGCUCUCUAGUACGUGACUGACGCUGAGACGCGAAAGCGUGGGGAGCGAACUGG